rnacentral:lncRNA from 1 species
ACGGAUCAGAGGAUUAAGGAAAUGUUGUGAUGGUGCGCCAUGCGUUUCCUUCCUCAUCGCUCUGCAGGUCUGUGGGACGACACUUGUUGAUGUGGCUACUGACUGCUCUGUACUGCAGUAGAGGCCGAAAAGGUUCCAAGUGCCUCACUGUGCCUGCAAGCGGCUAUGUCCCAAUAGGCAAGUGGGUGUACUUCUGAGUGUUGGGCGACACAGCUGGCAGGGCGCGGACACAUGGUGCACACACAUUGCUUUUUGUCACUGAGAGUCCUCUCAGCUUUGUAUGCAAUUCUAUUGAGGACUCUAAGCCUCUCUCCAAUCAGAAAUCAAAUAGAUUUCCGAUCUAUCUCCCUAAUAAAUUUAAACAAAGAAACGUGAUCUAUAUUUAUUUUCUAAAUAUAUGCAAAGAACGACGUAGCCGGAUAACUAGCCGGCCGACUGGUUGGCGUGCCAGAAGCACCUUGAGUACAUUGUCACAGAGGGCAAAGGACGCAAGGCACGUUCAAGAAGAGCACAUCCACGGCCUU